rnacentral:lncRNA from 1 species
CAAAAAUGUAAACAUCUAAUUCUAGCUAUUAUUCAAUUCCCAAAGCCACGUUACACAACAACACCAUCACAUGACUAACCACAAACAUAAACAGAAAAGAACCAGAUAGAAAAACAACAAGUACAACUGCAACAUAAUUAAUUAACACGCAGAUUUUUCAGCGGCGGGGAAUUAAACUAAAAUAAAAAAACAUGCAUAAUUAUUUUCAAUUUUCAUCCAUUUACUUCUUGGCAGUGGCGUUGUGGAUGGCCUGCUUCCCCUGCUCGACGUAGUGGGUGGUGCCGGCGACGACUGUGUCCUUAACGCCGAUCGCCCCCUCCUUGGUGUUGGCCACGAUCCCCGGGCCGGCCGGUGCAACCACGGCUGGCUUCUUCUCCUCGGCCUUGCCGCCGCCGGGCAUCAUGUCUUGGGCUUUCUUCAAUAGUCCGUCCAUAUCUAGUUAUAAACAAGUAGGAUUCAAAGAGAUGGGAAAUUGGUACGUAAGAGAUUUUAGUGUGUUUUGAUGGGUUUCAUGGGAUAUAUGGUACGUACUAGUUAUAUAGUGGUACAAAUUUUGGGAAGUUUGGAAGAUAUUUUGAUUGGCUUUUGCUGUGUGUGGCUUACAAUUGGCUUGCCGACAUCGAAAUGAACAGGUUCUACGUGAUAGUCUUUACACGUUGCUCUUUGCUGCUUUUUCUUUAACAUGAAUAUAUACUGAUAAAAGGUGGGACCAUUUAUGAGCCGGGCAGCUCGAUCGCAAGCAGUUCGGUUUAAAUAUUCGCUUUUGAAAUUGGUUUAAUUUGACCUGAUAGAUUCAUGAGCUAAUUCGAGUUCGAGAAUCAGGUCUAGUAUAUGGAUCAUUUGUAAAUUUAAUAAUGUAGUGUGUACAUGAUUGCUUCAAAUUACGUACGGUAAAUCACAUGUAAUUUGUAAUUAUGCUAAUGAAAAUACUGGUACAUCGUUUAAGUUUAAUUAACCAUCUUAAGUGGGAAAAGUAUAAACUUGUAAAGUUUUAGGAUAAUUUUUUCUUUUAGGUUUGACUCAUCGAAGUUUCUAGUGUACAAGCUUCCAAUUCUCCGUCCAAAUUGGACUCAUUGGGGGUUUUUUAAGAGUAAAGUUCGAGAUGACCUCGAGUUUCAUUCGCCAAGGUUAGUUAACGAGGCAAAUUUGAAUAAGCUCUAACUCGACAUAAGUUAAAAUAUUUUAACUCAAACACGUUUAAAAAAUAAUUAACUAAUAUUCUUAAACACGAUAAAUUUUGACUCGAAUCGAUUUGUAAACCGUCUUAAAAAUGAUGAUGAGUGAGAUUAUAUAUAUAGAUAAUUUGAAUGGUUUUAUGCAUAUAGAUUGAUAAUUUGGAUUAUUUUUUGUUAGUUGUGGUUUGCUUUGAGUGCCUUUUUUAACUUGUUGUGGAGUAGUCAUAAGAGUAGUAGCUUGCCACACACAGUCUAUACUCUGUACGAUGUGGCUUUAAUUGAUGGGAAGCCAAUCAAGAUCAUGGGUUGGUUUUUGUCAGCUUUUAUAAUAAUCUGACUGAAUUAUUUGAUUUUGAGUCAUAAUAUCUAACCGAAAAAUAUUUAGGAUAGGACCAGAAAAAGCCAACACAAGUAUAGUUGCCGACAUACNNNNNNNNNNNNNNNNNNNUAAUAAUGUCGACCACUGAGAGGUUUUGUGGAUAUGCUUUCGAGAUGCCUCAUAGCCAAUGCCAUAUUUUGCUUCUUCUUGGAAUUAUUUGUAAAAAUAUACUAAACCUACGGAAAUANNNNNNNNNNNNNNNNNNNNNNNNNNNNNNNNNNNNNNNNNNGGAAAUAUUAAAGUCGAUAAUCCGGAUUUGAAGGGUGCUUUGGUCUCAUUGUUUGUUUUAAGUAAAUUUUUAAAAUAUUUGUACAGUUCUCCAUUCUUAAUAUAGCUUACUUUUGUUGAUAAAAAAAAAUAAGGGGAACUAAUUUUUUCAUUUUCACCAAAUUCUAAUUUUAUUCCACAUUCCGCCUCAUAAAAUACCAACAGAUCACUAAUUUAUGAGGAAUGAGUGUUUAAAAAGAUACAUAUGUUGAUUUUAUGUUUAGCGAUGUGUGAUACACGAUUAAGUAUAUAAUUUACCAUCACAUUUUGUCGUACGUUGAUGUUUACGUUUACCCAUUUUGAUUGAUCCAAUGUAUAUGCUAUGAGUUUUUCAUGUUCCCCGCAUCCUCGGCUCGUUCAUUUCACAAAUAUAGGUUAGGUGCAUGAAACAGAUUUNNNNNNNNNNNNNNNNNNNNNNNNNNNNNNNACAGAUUUUAAUAUUAAUCGAUACAAUCCUUUCCAUAUAACUCAUUUUUAAAAAAUUUAGCUUCAAAGAAAAUGAUGUCCAAAAGAUUAUAAGCUCGAAUGCAUGACAUGUACCAUAAUUAGUUAUGUGAUACUAAUCAAUUAUCCGCGGCAGAAGUGUUAUUAAUUAAAAUAAAGAUCGAUUUAGUCUUCGGUUUUAGACAUUUUGGUGGUCGAAUACAAACUCUUGAUGAGUAACACAAAAUCCAAAUCCAAAAUCUAAAAUCCAAAAUUGAAAACCCAGUACUCUAGACGCUAAACUUUAAAAUCCAAAAUAAAAAAUCGAAACCAACCACUAAACCCAAACUCAAACCGAAACAAAUAAUAAAUUAAAUAAUUUUGUUGAAAAGACUUCCGUGUCCUUCUUAUGCAGACGUUAGAUCUGUCAAAGUGCAAAACCCAUAAAAUUUAACGGUCUAGAAUCAUCCUGGAAUGUUUUUCCGCCUGGAUUUUAAACCUGGCUCAAAAAGCUCGAUAGAACGAAUCGGGUAGAGCAACCGUAUAGAAUGUUUAUAUUGUUUGAUGUGCGUUAAUGAGAGUAAUGUUUUAAUCUCCCCGUGGCGAGCCCUGAGUGACUUGGGGGUGUCGAGACUAAUCAGGGUCGUUUGAGCGUCCAACUGUAAUCGAGGGAGAAAUCCUAGCGGGAAGGAAACCUUUCGACAGUUCGGCGCCUCGAGUGGCCAAGCUGUUGCUCCGAGGCUGAUAUAACUGAGAUUUUAUAAGUUAAUUAAAUUAAAAACAUGUUUUAAUUUAAUUAAACAAAUACCAUGAAAUAGUGAAGCAGAAAAAUCAAAACAGAAACAAAACACCACAAAAUGUGAGUACAAACUGGAAAAAGAAACACAUUACGGAGGUCGAUCGGUGAAGACGGUAGGGUAGUGAGCAUUUAAAUUGUUUCUCCUUCACUUUGUUUUAUUCCGAUGAUUUGAGUAAACAUCAAAGCUGUCCGAAACCGAUAGGAGAUACGAAUCUAGAGUCGUUCCCGAAAAACGCAUUGGCCGAUAAUUUGGUGACGAACUCCGUCGGGUGGAAGCCAUCCCAAAACAAAUGCUCGUCUCGAUUCUGACAAAGUGUAGAUGUUUGGUUGCACACCCCGCUUCCUUCUCCGCAACACGGGACUUCCACCUCCUUCAAACCUGCACAUCGGUUGUUCCAAGUAUGGAUAGUUGAUAUUCAUUAUUUGUUUUAGUAUAUAGUUGAGUCAUUAUUAACUAUAUUUUUACCAAAAUCGGCACCGUGGCUGAUGAAAUCCAUAGUGAUGUUGAAGGCGUUACCGAGGGAGAACUUAACGUCGGGAGCUAACUCCGCAAGCUUCUUAGAUGCCAGAGUGAAGCCGUCGAAGAAAGCUUGAGCCAGCAAAUUCGCUCCAUCGAAGCAGCCGCUGGUUUCAUUGAACGAUCGCGCAAAUGGGCAGCACCCAAGUGCCGGAAUCAUCACUAUGGCGAACUUCUUUGCUCCUUUUAUAUACAAUUCCUGCCCAAUGUAACGUAUUUCGGUAUCAUUCAUUCCGAAAUCAUUUUCUAACCACUCAAAUUAUAUUGAGAUUAAUUGGUCAAUAGUAUUAAAUAUUUUAUUUUAUUAUAGAUCCCACUUUACCAAAAAUCUAGCUAACCUGAAGAUGGCCUCCGUAUUCCGUAAUCAAAGAGGUGACCAACUCCUCGCCGGAGACGUUGAAAUUGGGAGCAGCGGGGAAGGAAGAGAUAUUCCGUAGGUAAUCGAAGAUGUCGUUGCUUCCAACGCUGAUGAGAAACACGGACUCCGCGAUCAGCUUGGCGGCUGCUGUCGGCCCUAACAAUGCUGACAGGUUUGCGGCUACCGUCGUAAAUUGUUCUAUCUGGGUUUUCAAAGGAACCACCUGCAAAACAUUUUGAUCCACCGAGAUUUGAGUUAUAGUACCAACAAUUUUUUGUAUCAGAUAUAUCGAACUGGUAAGGCUAAUUCAAUACUUACUCCGAUGGUAGAGCCGGUCGAGUCGAAAAUUCCACAGCCGGCCGAGGCGAAGUUGACGCCCUUCGUUAUGGUUUCGUUGAAUUUUUUACUGCAGGCCCCGCCGGCGACGAGAGAGAGGAACGGCGGCGGACUUCCGGUGAACCCCAUUUUCUUUCCUGUCGCGGGAAAAAAUGAAAUAGAAUAACGGUUAGUUCUACAUAGUCAAUGUGAGCUGUGAUCGAGCCCACGGGCCCAACAUGGUCUAUGGUAGUAAGCCCUCAAGCUCAAGAAGGAAGCUGCUGUUGAUUAGAGCGGGUCACGAAUCGCGCUGGGCCCAAUUUAGGUUCGUUAAUGUUUAGCGAAUUUGAGCAAGACAAUUUUGGUUUGUGUCGAGUUUGAGCUGACUCGUUAAAUAUCAUUGACGGGUCAAACUCGAGGUCAGCUCGAACUUCGUUCAUAAAAAUCUCUAAUGAAAAUCUAAUUUAAGCAAAAUUUAUAUGGAUAAGUCAAGUUAAAAAGGUGCUAUGAUGGUUACCAAUUUGGUCAGCAAGAUUGAAGCCAUUGCUGAACCUUCCAAUGGGCAAAGAAGAAGAAGAAUCAAUGCCAUAAAACGGGAAGCUAGCGGUCGCCGUGCUGGCCGGCAAGUAAUCAUUGGUCCCGACAUCGACUAUCGAGUCCCCAAAUACGUACACCGCCGGGAAAGUACAAGCUGACGGCGAUGAGCAUGAAACACAGAUGUGGUUGUUAUCAAUAUUGAGAACCAAGAAGCAAACAAGUAGUAUUGCCGACAAAACCCUGAAUUUCGUCGCCAUUAAUUUUUCAAUUCCUUUGUGUUUGGUUUGGGGGUUCUCGAUCCUGGGCGGCUCCUAUUUAUAAACGAGACACGUGUCUUUGAAUUCUAUGUCGAAUAUCUAUUUGCGGCUGAUUAAUUUACAAUUUACAUGUUUGUUUUUCUUUUCUCGUCCGGUUAUAAUUUAAUGUUACUUCAGAGGCGAGUUUUACGAUUGGAAGAACAUUUAGGUGUAGACGUCCAAGCCCUAGGUCGUCGGCGGAUCUUGUUAGAUUUUGUACUUUGGUGUUCUGUUUCUUCCUGCGGAAUGGACUAAUGAAGUUUUGUCAUUUUGAUUUCACUUUUUUUAUAUAGAGUUUUAUCGUAAAACCUUCAAUGAUAGAUUGUAAUCAUUAGUAAAAAAUAAAAUAGAAUAGCGCAACAUUUAAAUAAACAGUACGGAAAUAAUCAACAUUCGCAAAGAGAAGGUUAAACGCAGGAUGGAAACCAAAGGGAAGAGAGUGCUCAUAGUGGGCAAGGACAUUCACGACGUGCGCGGUUGCUUUCACGAAAAAGUGUGUGUGAUAUGCACAACUCAAUUUCUCUUCAGGAGUUGCUGCGUCUCCAUAAUGUAAGAGAGAUGUCGAAAAUCAUCAGAAGGGUGAUCUCCCAGAACACUUGAAAUUGUACAUUGAGAAUCCAGUUGCAAGGUCACCUUUCAAAAGCCCCGAUCCCAAGCAAGUACAGUAGGGUUUACAAGGAGAGAGUGAGUGAACUUCGCAAGUAUAGACCUUAGAGAGUGGUUUACAAAUGAUUAUUUUCUGAGUUGCGCGAUAAUUAGUGGUUUGGGAGAGCGGCUUAGCUUGUCACCUAAAAUUUAUUACGAUCUACUGGUCUAGUUGGUUCGCAAGUUUGAGUCAACUCGAAUCGAGCUAUGAAGACGAAUCAAAAUUACCUCAAGUUCAACUCAUUUAAUUUACUAUUAAAUCAAACCUUUUCGAACUUUAUAAUAGUUUUCGAAACCAAAUACGGGACGGCGGACGAAUAGCUUGUAAAUACAAAGAGUUAGCCGGUGAGAAUAAAUGCUGCUAAAUGCUGUAUAUUAACCAACGGGCAAAACAAAAGCAUACGUGGGGAAUCGAUAAGAAUUAAGAUGAAUAAGAGUACAAGAUGAUCAUUUGAUCAUGCACUUCGAUGUAAUAUGUCGGAUGACUUCUGGGGACUAUACAUUACUUUAAAUAAUGACACACACUUCUUACCAAUAAUAAUAAUAAUAAUAAUAAUGACACACACUAACUACACUUUAUAUUAUUAUUGUAUUCUUCCGAACAACAUUGGUGUAUUUUAGGACAUUUUGGAUAGUCAUGUUUGGAAUUUUUGGGUAUAUUUUUCGUGUGGAUUUACAGUAUAUGAUUUUUUUACGAUAAUUCGAUAAAUAUCCACAUCACAUGCAGACGGUAUCAUAAAUACAUAGCUACCCCUUUACAUAAGUCAGUCAGUGAUAAAACGAUCAGCAUUGUCACAUUUAUUUUUAGUUAUAAAAUAUUCUUGUUAAUGUACGAUAAAUGUUGGUGAUAAAACGGUGUUAUAUCCACCACCGACGAUUUUUGCCGUCCUUUUCUCUUCCAAUUUUUAUUAAGAAUCGUUUGGUCCCAAUAAUACUUGAGUUUAAUAUAGAUUUUUAAAAUACAUAGAUACAUAGCACAUGAUUCAUAUUCAUUAUUCAUCAGCUGAUCAAGCAACCAACUGCAAAAACUAACCAUCUAGAUAGUACUUUAGAUGUUUUAUUUUCCAUUGGAAGACCACCCUCGAAUUUCAACAGCUCAACUUGUUAACCAGCUGUUUCAAACUCACACCCUCGCCAACAUCCUUCCUAACCUGUUCCUUAAUCUCCCCAGCAACCUUCCUCAGCUUCACAUCCUCCAUCAACACCUUAAUCCUCUCCCCAAUCUCUUCCCCCUUCACCAAGAAAUCUCCCAUCCAACCCCAUUCCCCACCCAUAAACCCUAGCCCACACCUCUCCACCACCUCCCCAUUGACCAUCUGAUCUCCACCAGGCGGCCACCCCAUCAUAGGAACACCAAACCACGCAGAUUCCACCACAGAGUUCCACCCGCAAUGGCUCAAAAACCCUCCCACCGAUUCGUGCCCAAUCACUUCGGCUUGAUCCACCCACUCCUUCACCACCACCCCUCUCUUCCCAACCUCCUCCGUCAUCUCCUCUCCCAAAACAUCUUCCAACGCCUCUUUGUCGUUUUGGUCCACCACUUUGUCCUUCACCACCCAGACGAAAUGAACCCCUGACCGGAUCAGCCCUUUUCCCAACUCCUUGAUCUGGUCUCUUGGCAGAGUCGUCCUGCUCCCGAAGCUCACGUACACAACGGAUUUCGCUGGCUUCCCUUCUAACCACUUCAACGCCAUUUCUGUUCCUGUUGUUGGAAUAAAAAUCACUAGUUUACCAAUUGUGUUUAUUGUGUCAUGGCCUCAUGGGUACUAAAAUGUUAUGAUAUAAAGUGUAGAAUAUCCUAAAAUUCAUCAAUAAUUAAACGAGGGGCUAAACUGUAAAUGACAAAAUAGCUACCACCAUUGGUUAUAGACAGGGUUAUGGUCCCCAAGAAUCGGAUACCAACUCAUUUUUUCAUAUCCAAUUAAAGAAAUUUUAAGAAAGAGAGAAAACUACAUUCUUCAUCAAAGAUCUUUCUGUACUUCCUGCAUUUGUUCUUCCAUUAUAGCAUGAAAUUAAUGACUCUGCUACUAAGGCAUCGAUUUUAGGUCGAAACUGGACCAAUUUAUAAUACGUGCGUCCAAUUCUGUCGAAUAUGUUAUCUGAACACAAAACAUGACCGGGUUCAAUUUAGAAUAAUUGCAAAUUCCAACUUGAAUAUGAACAUAAUUGUUUAUUUAUCGAUAUUUUCAUGCAAAGGUUUAAGGGGCAAUAAAGACAAAACACCUGAGCCUCUUUCUAACUUGGUCUCGAACCCAUGGGGGAUCAGUCCGAUGUUGAACAGAGGAGGUAAACGGUCAUCUACUUCCCCUGUUCUGAUCGCUUUCAGAGCUUCAGAUUCCAGGCAGUCAAACGAGUUUAUCACCACUCCGUCGAAUUUGGAGAGGCACUCGCCGCUGGAUUUGAACAAGCUGGAGAACAGAGUCUCCGGGUUCAGAAGCACCGGCGGGACCGACGAUCUCGGCACGUCUCCAAUUCCGGGGACUUCGAAUUUCCCGGCGGAUUCGAGUUGGGUUUUGGAUAAACUAGGGUAAUGGGAGAGAAAAGAGAACAUUCUGGCCGAGGACACGUAGAGGAUGUAGUUAGGGAUGUUGAGAGGUUGGGUGACGGAGAUGGUGGAGGAGAGUAAGGAUACGUCGGAGAACAGAGCAGCUGGCGGCGGGGAAAGGGAAGAGAGGAUGGAAGAUAAGUUUGGGAGGGAUCGGCGAAUGGCUUCCCACUGGAGGCAAAAGGGGUCGGUGGAGUUGGCGGUGGACGGGUCUAUCGGGAGGAUGUGGAAUUGCUGCUCGGAGACUUGUGGGUAAGCGGCGAGGAAUUUGGAGAUUAGUGAUGACUCUGCCUGAGAUACGAUUGGGUGGCUGGUGAUUAGGGUGACGUGGCAGUCUUGACUCAGUAAGUUUGCGGCUAGGCGGAGGAAUGGCAUGAGGUGGCCGGCGCCAGAGCUUGGGAGUAGGGCGACGUGGGGAGAGGGCCGGCGAUGGAGGGAAUCGGCGGUGGUUGUUGUUGACAUGGCGGCGGCUUUGAAUUGGAAUGGUAGUCGGAGGGGGGGAAGGUUGAGGUUUUGGUGAUCGAAUGAGCGACGUAGUUGGAUGCUUUUGUAGGAGUUUUGUCGGUAGCGGUGAAAACGAUUUUUUACUGCGGAACACCGUUAAAAAAAAUAUGUUAAUUGUUUCGGAAUUCAUAUAAGGAAGUUACAAAAUUUAUUGUUGCUCACUUAUAGGUUAUAUUUGGUCGCGUACAUCUUUGUUGUUGAUUGGUUGGCGUGAACUCUAAAAAUAUGUUUCAAUUUGACCCCUUAGACGAUAUGAUAUGAGCAAUAUUACCUCGUGGUAAAACAAUAUUACCAUGAACAACAUUCAAUUUGACACCUUUAUCUUGGUUGUUGGUUGCGGUUAGGAGAGUUUAAUAUUUCAUAAAUGCAAAUUUCAACUGUGAUGGAGUUGAAAGUGACUCCCUUUAACUGCAAUUUGCAGCAGAACUUGAUUUCAUUUUCAUAAUUAAUAUAUAUAGUAAUAAUUGUCUAAAUUGGAAUUUUGAUUUUAAAUCUUAUUUAUUUGUAUUAGCAUCAUUCUUCGUCUCCAAUUCAACAAACUUAUAUAUGGUGUAUAUAUAAGUUUGGAUCACUAUUAAUAAGACUACCCCACCAACCCAACCACUCCCAUUAAAUUAUUAUUGUGCCCUGUACACCCUGCAAUGGUCCACUGUGUUUAUGAGCAUUGCAUGGAAUGCGGAUCCAAGAUCAAACCAUACACCGAGCUAAAUAUUGAAAUUUAUAUAUCAAAAUAAUCCAUUUAUAAAUAUAUAUUUUUUAUUAUUUUUAGAGAAGCUAAUCAAGUGGCACACCGUUUGGCUCAUCUGCUGCCCAUUCAUUCGUGUUUUUGUGAUUGGACUGCUUUUUUUUCUUCCAUCGGCCAUUGUCAAUGUGGUAGCCUGCGAAACGAUUCACUCAUUAUUCUUAAUGUAAGUUGUUUUUCAUAAAAAAAAGUUGUCCUUAAAGAUUAAAUAUAUCAUCAAUAACUUUUUUUACUAACCAAACAGUGGGCAAGCUGAAAUUAGGAUUAGCAUAUAUUGAGUAGGUAUUUAGCCGAAACAACAAAAUAUUUAACCGAAUUUAAAAUUACCAUGAACCAUAUUCAAAAUAAUUAUAAAUAUAUAUUGAAAUUAGGAUUAGAGCCGAAAUUUAUCUAGAGCCGUGACUAUAUAGUCACCCCUAUAUCGGUCCCUGUAAUGCAAUCAAUGAAUAAGACAUUCUUCCCGUGAAUGUUGAAACAAGCAAGGACGGUAUAUAUAUUUCCUCUGGAACUUUUUCCAUUCACUUGUGACCAACUCAUCGGUUCCAGAAGAUAAUAUUUCAAGGACCAACUUUCCUGUCACAAAUAAUAGUUGUUGGCGACACUGAAAUCUGUCGUUGAUAAUGUAAUUUCCCGACGACCAAAAGAUUCAUCCCAGAAGGUUAGUAGUUUUAGUUCUAUGGCAAACGGAUGAUCAUAUUUCAGAUGUAUGAGGAUUUUAAUUAAUCGAACAUUCAGAGUUUUUAUCUUGGAUUUUUGACCUUACCUCCAACCCGUUAAGGUAAAACAACAUUUUUUUUUUAUAUUUUUCGAUAAAUCUGUCGUUUGUCCAUUUCGACAAAAAAUCCUCCAAUUUCAAAAUUUCAAUACUCUUUUUUCUUUUUUAAUUUAUGCUUCAUCAUCGUCAAUAUCUCCUUUUUCUUCUUUGAUGUAGUAGAUAAUCAAUCAAUGAUUCUUCAUUAUUAGUUAUCAGAGUUUGUGAUUCAUCAAACUUAAAGAGUAUUUGGUUGGUUUUCCAGUUAAUAAUAACUGAGGGUUAAAAACAUCAAUUCAAUCAAAUAUAAUAAUGGUAUUAAAUCAAAUUUAAUAACUUUUUACUGUAGCGGUUAUUAACAAUUAAACAAUAGAUAUACACUAACUGAAAUCGAUCCGAACUGUUGCCAAACCUACCCUUUGCCACGAAAAUGACCACAUCGAUAGGACACGAAGUCGGAGAAUUCAAAAUUUAAAUUGUGAAUCAGCCGCACAAAUACGGUGCGUUUUAGCUUUUAUUUCUUGUUGUUUAAGCCAGAAAAGAAAAAAGGGUAAGCAAGUCAAUAUUCUCUUUCACCGCUUUCUCAAACUCCCCGGAAAAACCUCUUCUAAACCUCCUUUCUAGAGUUCUCUCAUCAACACCGCCGGCGAUUGAGAUGGAGAUAGAUCCUCCGAUGCAAGCUUCCGAGCUCUCUCAGAUCAAAGACGAAGACCUCUUCAAAGCCGCCGAGACCGGCGAGUGUUCGGUCCUCAGCUCGCUCCCUCCGCCGCAGCUCACCAAAUCCCUCUCCCUCCGGAACGAUGACCGCCGCUCCCUCCUCCACGUCGCCUCUUCCUCCUCCUCCACGUCGCCUCUUCCUCCGGCCACCCCGAGGUACUCCGAUUCGUGAAUCGAUUUCCAAAUUUGUUAUGUUCGUUGCUAAUGCGAAACCAAAUUUGAUAAUUAUCAGGCGGUGAAGAUUCUGUUGGAGGUUGAAGGAUCUGAAAGCGUUGUGAACAGCACGGACGAGGAAGGUUGGGCGCCGCUGCACUCCGCCUCUAGCAUUGGAAGUGUUCCGAUCGUCGAGAUUUUGUUGAGCAAAGGUAAAGAAGAGGAACAUGUAGUGUUAGUUGGAAGUGCCCGUAGUUUGAAUUGAUUUGAUGACUGGGAGGAUUUUGAAUAGGGGCGGAUGUGAAUUUGAAGAACGAUGGAGGACGAACUGCGCUCCACUAUGCUGCGAGCAAGGGAUGGUUGAAGAUUGCUGAAGUGUUGAUUGCACAUGGUGCUAAAUUGAACGUGAAGGACAAGGCUUGUAAACUUUACUUGACUGUGAUUUGAAUGUGAAUAGCUCGUUUUGUGAAGCUACAUUGUCUUAAUACGGUUUCUCUAAUGCUGUAUUCAGGUAGGAUGCACACCAUUGCAUCGAGCAGCGAGUGUCGGGAAGGCGGAGUUGUGCGAAUUCUUAGUUGAGGAAGGAGCAGAGGUUGACGCUGUGGAUAGAGCUGGUCAAACACCUCUUAUGAAUGCUGUGAUAUGCGAUAAUAGAGAGGUGAGCUUUGGCCAAAAUGCUUUAGAUUUUUCUAUGUUUCUCAAAUGGUAGCCCUUUACUGUCAAUUGGAAGUUCUUUCUGAAUGCUUGCUGUAAACAGGUAGCUCUUCUUCUAAUAAGGCAUGGAGCAGAUGUGGAUGCGGAGGACAAAGAAGAAUACACUGUGCUUGGUCGAGCUUCGCGCGACUUUAGGGAUAUUCUCAUUGAUGCUGCAAAAGCCAUGCUUGAAGGGUGAAGCCUUCCCUGGUAACAUAACUUAGGUUUGGCUCUCCAAUCAGUUGAUUGGUUAUACUAUCCGAACACAUGCUUGUAUGGAUCCUGUAGCAGGGAACAUCUUUCAUCCUCGGUUUUAGUAGCUUCUCCAAGUUUUUUUCUAGCUACAUACAGUUUUGUUAACUCCUUUUAUCAGAAAGGUUGAUAGAAUCUUGAUAACCACAUUUGAAGCUCUAGAAUCUGAGGCAGUUUCCGAUGCCAGAAAGUAUGGAGGUAAUACCUAACUUGCCUCGGAUUCUUGAACUCACACACACCCAUGUGAGUUCAAGCCUGAGGGACUCCGCGAGCCAGUGAGAUGGCUCGAGUGGCUCGUUCGUCAGGUCUGUAGUAUAUGCUUGGUUUCGGCAUUAGGACAGCGUUACCGAUAAUAGACUUGAUAGUUCAACCACAAACACAAAAGAAAGAACGAAGAAUCUAUCGUCUCAGACUGGUAUAAGUAUCGGAAUAUGAAUCAAUCAUCACUACUCUCUUUGUUUCUUUACAGCUAAGGUUCUCAUGCUUAUUCAAUCUACGGGUACUAAUUACUAACUUGGUAGGUUAGUUUCCACACCUAACACAUUCAGUGUGCAUUUAUGAGCGUUGUACAUUGUUUUCAGUAAGAUGCCAAUGUCGAAUUAAAUGUCAUCCAUACCGGAUGAUAAUAAUUUACGGUUUAGCCCUCACUCGACUAGAGCUACCAUGAUCAUGUUUAUAUUUUAUACGUCGAACACAUUUAUGCCAUCCGAUUACUGCUUCAAAUCAUCCGAGAUUGCUACUAUGUGUAGUAAGUUUUCUACUAUAGUAAAUGUUGAAUUACCCGGGAAGUGAGAAACUAUAAUAGCGAUACUAAUCGAAACCUAAUGUCUGCAUUUGAUCAAUUCGAUCCAAUAUGAUGUCACCGAUCGAUUUCGACAAGAGUAAAUAUCGAAUUACGUGAGAGAUUACAAAAAAUUAUCGUGGUAUUGAAGUUUAGUGGAAAAUGGAAAUGGGUGAUGGAAGAAUUGUACUAUGAAUUGACGACAUGGUAUGAUCGUAGCCACAAGAUCCACCUAACCGAACUACCCAAGAAAAACAAAACCAUCUACAUAACCUACAAGUCCGAACUACUACGUAACACACUCUUCUAACUCGCACUUCAAACUCCCUCCCUCUGACCACCGUCAAACAAAAACCAAUGACAACCUCCGACGACCACCGCCCCCACGUAGCCCUUCUCCCAAGCUCCGGCGCCGGCCACCUCAUGCCAUUCCUCCGUCUAGCAGCAACCUUACUCGCCAAAAAUGUCCGAGUCACCUUAAUCACCAGCCACCCAAUCGUCACCGAUGCUGAGUCAUCUCUGAUUUCCCAUUUCCUCGCCGCCUUCCCACAAGUCUCGGAGCAGCAAUUCCACAUCCUCCCCAUAGACCCAUCCACCGCCAACUCCACCGACCCAUUCUUCCUCCAGUGGGAAUCCAUCCGCCGCUCCCUCCACCUCCUCUCCUCCAUCCUCUCUUCCCUGUCCCCGCCGCCGGCAGCCAUGGUCUCCGACAUAACCUUAAUCUCCUCCACCAUCUCCGUCUCCCAGGAGCUUCAAAUCCCCAACUACGUUCUCUUCACUUCCUCCGCCAGAAUGCUAUCUUUGGUAACCCGUUACCCUGCCUUCACCAAAACCCAGAUCGAAUCCGCCGACAAGUUCGAAAUCUCGGGAAUCGGAGACUUACCCAGAUCGUCGAUCCCGCCGUUGCUUCUAAAGCCGGAGUCUUUAUUCGCAACCAUGUUCAAAUCUAACAGCGAGAAUCUCCGCAAGUUCGACGGAAUCCUGAUCAACACGUUUGACAGGCUGGAAUCUAAAGCUCUGUCAGCGAUCAGGAAAGGGGAAGUUGCAGAUGGGUUGCCGCAUUUGUUCAAUGUCGGAUUGAUUCCUCACGAUUUCGAGAGGAAAUUAGGAGUCGGAGGAAGGAGGACGGGAGAGGUGAUGAAAUGGUUGGAUGGGAAGGAGGCGAAUUCGGUGGUGUAUGUGAGCUUUGGAAGCAGGACGGCUCUGUCGAGAGAUCAGAUUAAGGAGCUGGGGAAAGGGUUGGUUGAGUCAGGGUUUGGGUUUGUUUGGGUGAUGAAGGAUAAAGUGGUGGACAAGGAAGAUGGGGAGAGAUUGGAGGAUGUUUUGGGAGAGGAGAUGAUGAAGGAGGUUGGGGAAAGAGGGUUAGUGGUGAAGGAAUGGGUGGAUCAAGUUGAAGUGAUUGGGCAUGAUUCGGUUGGUGGGUUUGUGAGCCAUUGUGGGUGGAACUCUGUGGUGGAAGCUGCAUGGGCUGGGGUGCCUGUGCUAGCUUGGCCGCUUCAUGGAGAUCAGAGGAUCAAUGGGGAAGUGGUGGAAGGGUGUGGGUUGGGGUUUGUGGGUGGGGGGAAUUGGGGGUUGGGUUUGGUUAAGGGGGAGGAGAUUGGGGUUAGGAUUAAGGAGUUGAUGGGUGCUGAGAAGAAGGUGAGGGAAUUGGCUAAGGAGAUUAGGGUUGAGGUUAGGGGUGAUGUUGGGGUUGGUGGGAGGUGUGAUUUGGGUUUGGAUUUGUUGGUUGAGAAGUGGAGUACUUGAACAAGUGUUUUCCACUUAGGGGUUGUGGUCCAAUUGACAGGUUGGAUCUUUAAUAAUGUUACAUUUUUAGAUUAUGUUUGUUACUACACAAGGAAGUUUAAUUGAGUUGAUUAAAGAGCAUUUAGGAAUGUUAUGUUGCUUAAUGGUUACACCCACCAAACAAGCUUAAUGGAUCCAUUAUAGUGUACUUUUCUACUAGUGAUACCACGAUUACGAAGUCCUCAUUCCCACCAAAACGAGGUUCAAUCAAUUCAUAAUAACCACAUGAAAAUGGUACCAAUAUGGUUAACCAUGCCCAUUUAAAAUGAAUAAUCAUAUUUUCUUAGUCCCAAAAAUAAAAUACAAAUACUAUUAAGUGUUUAUACAUAAAGUGUUAAAACUCCAUCUUAAUAUAUUCGAAAUCUCUAACUACAAAACACAAUACGAUAUUUUAAUGGAGCAUGAAACACCAUCUCCCCCAUCUUCCCAGUUUAAUAUAUCUUGAGCCAGAUUCACAGUAGUUCCUCCCUAAAUUACCCAGCUCUGAGAGGCACUUAUUCAAUCAAGAACUCCACUUGUCAACCAACAAAUUCAAACCCACAUCACACUUCCCGCCAACUCCAACAGCACCCCUAACAUGAACCCUAAUCUCCUUAGCAACUACACUAUCUGCUUCAGAAGAUCACACAUGUGUUGCUGCAGAUGGCUUACAUAUAAAAGGAACUGCUGUAAGUAUUAUAUUUUACAUUCAGGGACUAUUAAUUACUCUAUUAGUUGAUAUGUUUUCCAAACUUCUUUUGCUCACAAAACAUACUUCCAUAUUUUCUAUGUUUGUUCAUCCAAAUUGCUGUUUUCUUCUUGUCCACAUUUCUGCUGUCAGUAUUAUUUUGUGAUUCAUUCAUCUAUCAUUCUAAACAUUAACACAGGUUGAAAGGUCACCAGAUGAUAUAGUUGAAAGCCUGGAUAUUCCAACAUCAGCAAAUGGGAAAGAUAGACAUGAAUGUUACCAAAACAAAACAUUAAUCGUGCCUAAGAAUUUUCUUUGUGUACCUGAUACCUUGGAUCCCAUGGAAGGUAAUAUUCUAUCUAGUUAUCAUUACGUUUCGAGUGAUUGACCUAACAACAAAACUGUUUCCCAACACAGAACUGGUCUGAUGUUUGUUAUACUACAGAGUACGCACCAAAUGCUCAGGGGCACAGUACAUGCUUUGACAAAGAACAAUCAUCAAUUGACACUUCCAUUUCAGAAAGAGUGGUUUCUGAAUCAAAUCAAGGAGAUGAAAUAACCACAGGGAUGUCACACGUAGGCAUUGACAAGGAAGAGCCAAUUGUAGCUGACACUUUCAUGUCUGAAGAAGCGCUUUCUGAACCAUAUAUGGAGGAUGAACUGGCUGCAGGAAGUUCAAGUGGAAGCUCUGCGAAGUUUGACUCUGAUUCAGCUGGUCAAGACACAGCAAAUUUAAUGACGACACUUCUGCUUCCACAAGCAAUUCCUCUUCUUAAGGAAUCCUCGGACAAGAAAAGGAAAUCCAAUGCCAUGGCGAAAAACUUUAUUCCUAGAACAAAACCUCAGGAGGAAAAUGAAGAAAUUUCUUAUGUUCAAUUGUCUAAAAUCCAGCAAACUGAGGCUGUUGUUGUAGACAGUUUUGAGGACAAACAAUGUGAGGAUUAUGUUCUAGGACAACCUGUGCUUCUCUCUGACAAUGCCAAAGAACAAUCCGGUGAUAGGGAAGAUGAAAGAAUUCCUCACACUUCUGACGGCCCUCUAGAUCUAGAAUUAAGGGAGGCAGAUAGGGAAAUCUCUGUACCGUCAUCCAAAUCCAUUGCUACAGGAGCAAGGACAACUGAAACCAAGAAGCAAGGCCUUUGUCCAGGUGACAGAAAGGUAUAUACGAGAAAAAAGACUGCUGCUAAAGCAGUAAAGCACAGUGAUCCCUUGUCAGAAAGCAUAAUAUGCAGAAACUAUGGAGAAGGUUGUGAUCCACGAUCUAUUCUCGAUUCUGAACCUUUGAAUGUCAGCCCCUCCAUUGGUGAUGCACAUCAAAAGGAUCUGUCCAAGGAUAGAAUCGGUACUGGAGGGCACCCCCAUUCUUUAGAAGUGGAGAAAAUCACCACGAGUUGCAGGCCUGAGUCAGAUGAUCUACCUAUUUGUGUGUCAACUGAAGGCGAAGGAACUUCAGACGUGCCUAUUUUGUGUGUUCCAGUUUCAGAAGAAAUCCAAUUUAAUUGCAAAGAUAGGUUGGUAGAGCACAGUGCCUUGGUGCAUAUCGAUGGUUCCUUAAUAUCACAGCAAAGAAAUGGGGAUGGAUACAUCAGGUGGUAUAGAAGUUCAAGAUAAUGCUGACCUGAAGCUCCAAAGCAAUUUUGAGCUUCACUUUAACUUAGAGGGCAUUGCUGAGAUUGUGGGCUGCUAUAUCCACCCGCUUCCUGUUUUGCAGCUAUGGUUGAGCUCACAAGAAAAUGAAAUCUACAUUUGUGCCCCAUGUGGCAUUCUGGCGGAUAAACACAGGACCUUGUUUCUUUAUAAGUUAGCCACUAAAGCCCUAACUGCCGGAUGCCCAUCCUUUGUUGGUCAUACGACGGUCAAUUGGCCAUCUCCAGUGCAUAUGUUUGGUAAAGUAAGAUCCCGUUUCCAUAUUUGAAUUGGAUCUUGUGUGCGAAUUUAUGUCAGGGUGCUUACCCUCGCGCUCCUCUUUCUAGGUUGCGCCGGAAAGGUCCAGUUUUCAACUAACCCCAGACGGGCAAUUAUUUGUUCUACAUGGCAGCACGAAAGUUCCUUGUUGCAGGUUGAAAUUUCUCUGGUUCACAUUUCAUAUUUCCCGGUAACAUAAACUAUGCUUCUCCACCUAACACUACGCUCAUUCUCAGAGAAGGGAGAACGGAUGGUUUAUGCUCUACAUGUGAAGCAGAUAGCUGUAGUACCAGCUCUGUGAAGAUUGUACGAGUAUAUUUCGGACAUGUAUCAGUCUUGUUGGAAUUGAGGGCAGAUGAAGAAAUCGAAUGCAUCCUUGUCUGUGAACCUAAUAAUCUAGUUGCUGCUGUUGAAAGCGGCAAACUGCAUUUGUGGACCAUGGAUUCUACGUGGAGGUGAGCUUUAUCUAACUGUCAAACGUUCGGUUCCCUUUCUGCGAAUGCUCUCCUGUAUAUCUCAUCGAGUACUGCACUACUGUUCUCAUCGUCUUAUCAAUUUCUCUGUCUGCAGCACUUCAAAGGAGGAGCACACUAUAUCAAACACGGGUUACUAUUCUCCUCGAAUUGUGGAGUUAAAGAGGAUUCCUAAACCUGAAUCUCUAGUUCUAGGCCACGAUGGCUUUGAGGAAUUUACACUAUGGUAUGUCCUUUAAUGCAUCUAGACAUGUUUAUAAUGAUUCUGUUCCUUGACAUGGUUCCUUGACAUUGUAUUUUGUGUAUGUUCUUUCAAUCUAUGUUGUAUCCUUACUCACCCAACUAUCAUGAUCAGUCUACUGUUCUGCAUUUUCUUAUAACCAUAGUAUGCCAGCAUAUGUACUCUUCUGAUAAACUCGGGAAAAUGCAAUGUUUACUAAAUUGUAAAGCAUCAAGUUUACAUUCCUGCACAUGAGUAGUUGGCGCUCCUCUCCGUCUCCCUUCAGAAUGCCAUUUUCAAACUGGUUCCGUUGCCGUUUCAGAAUGAGCUGAUAUGUAGUAUGCAGAUUCUAACUCUUUCCUGUAACUCUUUCAGGGACAUCUCCAGACGAACCUUUGUUUUGAGAUUCUCCUCUCCAGGAACUUCAAUCCAUGCGUUCAACCCUAUCAGCUGGUUCAGCUGGCAACCACAGCUCACUGCCCAGAGGACCGUACCAGCAGAAUGAUGGAAGCCACAAAAUCAUCAUUAACAGAUCGUCCGUUCCCUCACAAUGAAGGUGAAGAUAUCGCCAUCUGGCUUCUCGUCUCAACCAACAACGCAACCGACCGUCCAACAGAUGAUCCAGUGGUAUCCUGGAGGCUGGCUCUAAUGGCCCAAAAUACCAUGAUCCUCGGACCCACGUUGGAUCCAGGGUGAGUUAGAAUUUUCUAAGUUGGAACUUUGGAGACAAUUGUCAGUAAUUCUGAGACUUGGUGAAUCUCUUGCUUUUUUUACAGGGCAGUAGCUGUCGGCGCAAUAGUUGGCCGUGGAGUCAUUGCCACUGACGAUGGAGUUGUGAGCAUGUGGGACUUGUUGACAGGGAACAGACUCGGCAGUCUCCAUCAUUUCAAAGGUAAGCUUUUGGUCGGUUGAUUUCCAUCGAACUGAACUGUGGAGCGUGGACAGUGGAGCUGCACCUUUUGGUUCGAAUCGAAUUGCAAGAUUUGUGAUUUUGAUUUGGUUUGGAAAAAAACCCACGUUGACAGUGACUGGUGGUUUUGUAAUUUUGGUGAUAUAUCCCAGAUGGAAGGGUUUCGUGCAUUGCAACAGACGAUUCAUCAUCAAGCUCGAGUUGUUUUGCCGUUGGUAGCGAAACAGGUCAGUUAGUGGUCUAUCGACACUUGUAAAUUGGCCUCCAAGAGGCUGUAGUUUUCCCAUUAGGAGUAAUUUGUAUGUUUUAACAUCAACAUUUUUUAACUGCCAACACUGUAAAAAGGUGAGUUUUCCUAUCACAUUAUGAAGUAAAAAGCUUCAAGACAUAGAGAAAAAAGCUUUAACAAUUUGUAAUUUUUAAUCUCGUUGAAUCCCUUUGAAACCAUGAUUAUAAUAAAAAAAAUGUUUCGAUCAUGGUUCAAACUCACGACCACAAAGUUAAGAGUUUUGUGCUCGAGGAACUGCACCAAGCCUAGCUAACUCAGGAACGAAAACAUCUGCAUUCUUUCUCAUAAAAAAAACUUUGAAAUUGUUGGUGUACGAAAAUGGAUUAAAUAUAUUGCACUAAUAAACCAUAGUAAAUUGGUAUAAGAAAGUUGACUUAAUUAUUUUCAUUAUGGUUUUGCGGUGAUAAUCACCAAACAAUAGUGAUUUUAAGUGUGGCGGACUACCGCCACUUCCAACCUACCUGGAAAAUAUUUACAGUGUGUUGUUUAUUAAUGCAAUAUAUUUACUCCAUUCUCGUCCGCUGCACCCAAUAGUAAUUUUGUCUCCUGUCAUCGAUUAGCAUGCUGAAUUCAGUGACAUCCUCAAUCCCUCCGUUGGCAGCUCGAACUACCUCUUGGCAAUCGGAUUCAAUCUCCACUGUACCAAAAGAUCAAGAUCCCUGGAGCUAAGCCACUCAAUGGUAUUCAGUAAAGCCAUCGCUUCACUCUCUCUACCAUCUCGAUAGCCCUGGAAGCUCCGUUGUCUUGACACGAUGAGCGAGUCUGCCACGUCCCGGAUGACUGCACCACUGCCCAAUCGAGUCUUUCAAAUCACAUUUUGAUAACCAGUGAUCAGACCCCAUCUAAUACCGUGGGCCCAAAAAACAAGCCUUAGGCCCAGAGAAUUAUAACUGGCUGGGAAAUGAAUUAGCUGCUGCACUUUAGGGUUUUCAGAAGCAAAAGCACCCCCUAUAUAAACUCGCGUAGCUUCAGCUCCAAUAAUUGAGUCAUUCAUUCAUCUUCUUCGCCGUUGCAGUCUGAAAUGGUUCUUCCCACUGUUUUUAUUCGAUCUAGUUUUCCUGUGCUUUUUAUAGGAUCGUCUCUUCGAAUUCGAUCUGUUAGUCCUCUGUUUUCUAGUUAUUUUUCCAAUUGAUCGGCUCUAUAUCACGAGUCAACAGCAGGCGCCUUCCAAUGGCGACCCGACUGCCGCUUAGAGCCAAAAUUAAAAAUUUUAGUUUCCGGAAGAAGACCCUUGAAACCUAUAAUAUCCGUUUGUUUCAAGAUACAAUAGCCCGGUUACAUUUCUGCUCUGCAGAUGAGAUAUAUAAUUUUCUUCAAAUCUGGCUUUUCUUGAAAACAAAAAAGAUUUGUGUAUGGAGGUGGCAUUGAAGUCAGACACGGAUGUUUCGGGGUUGGUAAACAGUGCCCAAUUCAUCUUUUGCAUGGUGCCGAAAUGCAGGUGCUUCUUAUCACGAUUGGAGGGAGUUUUUCCUACUCUGUAACUUCCCUUCAAAUUCCAAGAAGCCAUAUCUCGCCUUACACUACUUCUUUUACCAUUUUUGUUCUUGCCUGAUUCUUUUUUUCCCUUGAAUUUAAUAUAAAUUUAAGCAGUAUUCUAUGUCAAUGAAGUACUAAACCCAGAUUCUUUCACCUGGCUAUGUUUGUUGGAUGGAAUUAUUGAUAGAAUUUGAUGGGAAGUGACCAUAUUGUAGGAGGAUUAAAUAUAAGGUUAAGAACCUUACGUUCUAUGAACUGAGCUUAGACAGACUAGAUUAUUGGAGUUAAAGUAUAUAUUUUUAAUGUUAUUGAUUCCCGUUGAUCCCUUAGGAUGGAAUGUUCAUGCUCAAACUGUCGGAAACCUGUAUGCCCACUGUGUGGCUAGAACCCGCGAUCAUGAGAUAAAGAGGGCUCGAGCCCACCACCACCCCAAAGUUAAAGAGUCUUGUACUCUACUGACUGAGAGACAACAUGGCUUGUUGGCACAACAUACCACCUUUCACGGGGUCGAACACCAGCUCUCUUAGUAUGGCAUUUACUUGUGCCAGGGUGAGAAUUUUGAGUUCGUGACUGCCUGACUGGAGGAAAGCUAAAGAAAACAGACGACAAAAAGAGAACGAAAGUGACGUGAAAUACAACUGCAUGUUUGAGAAGUAGACUUGCAGUCACACUUCUGCCGUGUGAAUCAUACGUUACAGAACAUAGAUACAAUGUUAGAGACAGCCAUGACAACAUAUCUUUCAAAAGAAAUCUAGUGGCACGUGGAAAUGCAGAGCUAAAACGUCACAGCAGGUGAAAACAGCUACAACAUAGACUUGGCAUCACUGAGAUCGAAAUAAAACCUCUUUAAUCCGAUACGAUUCUUGCAAAUGCCGAGACCAAAAUGGGAAAUCAAAAUAACACAGUAUAAUCACUCAACAACCUGUAACAAACAUUAUGCAGCAACUAACAAUAAAUAACAUGAUAAAGAUUAAUACUAUGGAAAAUCUCCGCAAGUAAAAACUCUCUCUGUGACCUUAAAAAAAGAUUAAUACUAAGUAAAGUCUUGCUCUACUUGGUGGCUCAUUUAGCAAUGGCGGAUGCUGGAGUGUCGGAGGAAGGGUUCAGUUCAUCCCAAGCUUCGAUCCAGGUAACCAUAGCAUCUGCAAGUUUUUCGAAGUAAGGAUCCACCUUCCCCAGCUUCUCCUUGACUUCCUUGGAGAGCUCGAUGUAGCAUUUCUGGACAGAGGUUGCUUCCUUGGAGAGCUUCACAGAUUGGAAGAAUGGGAUGAUCUCUUCCUGCCAGUAUAUCCCUUUAUACUCCUUUUUCAGGUUCACAAAUGGGUUGCUGGCCUUGCUAUGCCAUAUGUACGGCAGCCCUGUCUUGAUCCCCCAUCCCAUAUGGUCACAGAUCACCUGCAUCGAAUAGACGAAGAUGAAUUACCUCAUAGCAAAUAGGGCCGGGCCAAUCUGCAAUGUGGUGACUAUUAUCGAUAAGCAGUAAAGAUUGUUUCUUUCACCUUAACCAACCCUAAACCCAGUAGACUAUAUAGUCUAAUAGGGUCAAAUCUACGAUACGAUGACUAAUGUUGAUGAGCAGUAAAGACCGUUUCAUUUACCUUGACACACCAACCGGCCCACAUGUCAUCGUAUCGGCCGAUUGGCUGACCAUCUCCCAUUAGUCCAAAGUACAAUGCAGGUCCGACGAGUUCACGGUCGAACGCUAAGUUCAUGCCACACAUUGGGAACAGGGUUCCCUUGGGGAUCGUCAGGACAGCAUCAACAUACCUGCAUUGUCCAUAAAAUUAAAUCCCAUAACAUUAAAUCAUUAAAAUCUAGAAACCCCCGAAAACAAUUCAUCACCAAGGGCAUGAAAUACUGGCGAAACCUACCUGGUGUUCCUUUCCAGUGGCUUCACAAGCUGAGUAGGAGCAUCAUAAUCAGGGAUGUUAAGCCACAGACCAUGAGAGACUGCAGUGGUAACACCUUCACGGAGACUGAAAGGAUACCCGCGAACAAAGUCAGCACCUUCUCUGUACGGAUCGUAGAGGGUGUUGAAGAAGUGUGGAGUCGAUGGAGACAAAAGGUUUUUGAUGUGCUGCUCCAGUGCAUUGAUCUGCUGUCCCGAGGGAUCCGAGGCCACCUGCAAUCAAACAAAAUCACACAACAAGCCUCUCAAGAACAGAUUAAACCCUAUGAAAUCAAGCUGAGAGGGCCAUGAAUUGAAAGUUGAUACCAGGUCUGCUUCUUAUAUAUCAACAAGGACUUGCCAUUUUGAACUUGUUCAAGCCCAUGAACCACAUUCAAGCUCUCCAAUUCGCUAUCACUAAUCUCUUUCGGGGAAAGCCAAUCACUCUCCAAGAUUAUAAGUAUUAAGGAAUACAAUAUAAACCAAUUUUGAACUUGUUCUAAACAACUCGAGUUAUUAGAGCCUUUGAGUGAAAGUUUGAAUCAUACUAGUGCCAACAUAACCAAUUCAGGUGCACGAUGAUACAUAGACCAAAUCGAGUUAUUAAGAUGCAAUGGUUCUCUAUGCUGAUCAAUCAUCUUAACCAGUCAUCUAAUCACAGAGAGUUCAGAUCGAGAACUAGCUAUCGAAAUUAGACAGUUGACAGUAAUCAUUAACAAGCAAGCAACCAAGUCAAACGCAAGUCAAAACACACAAUCAAUUCAACCAUAAUGUUUUUCAAAUUUUCAAUCAAGAGUGAAUAACUUACGAAGCAAUCGUCAUCAAUGGUGUAGAUGUACUUCUUCUUGGACACCAUGAACCCGAAGCACCUGCAAGCGGAAUCCUUGAAGGAAAUGCAAGAAGCCUUCGGACCCAGAAUCCUGUUGAUGUCGUUCCUGUUGUAGAGUUCAUAGUCAAAUCCUUCGGGGACUUUGAUGACCUUGGACGGAUCCCCAUCUUGGACGAUGAUGAGAUGGUAAGGCUGGAAGAAGGGCCUCCAUUUCUCCAAGAAGUCCAGGUUCCGGAUCGUCGGGAUCACGAUAUCAAGCUCGUCUUGAACUGGAAUACAAAAAUCAAGUAUAUAACCAUAAUCCUAAACCGAGUACAACAAACUUAAUACUAAAAAUUAAGUACAAAUUAAACGAUUGAGUACAUAACCCACAACAACAAUUAAAUAAAGUACAUAAGCUUAACAAAAAAAAUUAAACCGAAUAUAAAACCUUAACAAACUGAAUGCACUAACAAAAUCAAAACAAAAAGAACUUAGAGAAAUGAAGAGGCAAUUAAAAAUAUGAGAGUGACAAUUAAGAAUUGACUCCACGAAAAAAGGAUGAGAGUGAGGAUGAGAAGAAGAGAGUGAGGAUGAAUGGACUUCCAAAAGAAAGAAGAAAUAGAGAAGAAGAAGAAGAAGAAGAGAAAAAGAAGUAAGAAAAUGAAAUAAAAAGCCAUGUGAGCGGUUAGAUUGAAUAAUUAAAUGGACAGUUGAGAUUUUUCCUUGCUGCGGCAAGGAUUUCUAUCUUAUUUGUUGUUGACCCGUAAUCGUCAUGGAUCUCUGCUUUGUUUUUUUCUCCAGUUUGAUGAAUGUUGGAUUGUUGGGCUUAUUAGAUAAAAUAUCAGAUGCUUAUAUGGGCUAUUAGGCUGGGCCUAUAACAUUUAUUCACUCCUCCCUCCUGGGGUUUUAGGCGAUUGUUAACCCAUUAUCAUUUUUUUAAUCCAAGAUAUAUACACAAGAGAGUAUUAAUGAACAAUAACUGUAAAUCUGACGGGCCUAUGUCGAGAUCGAGAUAAUUAAGAAUCUAACGUGUUAUAAGGUUGGUGGUGAUGCUAUUUUGGCGUUAAAUUUCCUCUAAUAAUGAUUAUAUGUACCCUUAAAGUAAAUUGGGUUCAAAUUAUGUAUAUAAAGCCGGUGCCCCGAAAGCUUGCCCGCCCCAACCCGAUUUGAUCGGAUUAUUGACCCGGGUUUACCUGCCACCCUGAUCUAUUGGGUUUGGGCAGGGUUUCGGAAGGUCCAAAUCCGCCUCGGCAACCCGAAGGGGGUAAUUGUUAGGAUUUUUCCGCGAUUUCCUAGUCCCCUACUCCCCCUAAUCAAUCUUCCCCCGCACCGCAACGCCAUCAUGACUACAAUAGUAGGUAGAAUUUUAGGGAAGAAGGAAACCCAGAUUUGAAAUGGUUCAAUUAAAGGACAAGCCUGAGAUGCCUUAGUUAACUAGCAUUGGUGGUAGCUGCUAAAGAGGUACAUUCUGUUCAUGAGUUUUUCUUAAACUUAUCAUUCAUAAUUAAUGUUGUUAUGGCUUCUUGCAGGCAUUAUGAUGAGUUUAGAGAUCGCAAGUAAGCUGGUAUUGGAUGAACUUGAAUCUGAUACAGAUUCUAACCAUAUCAAUAUUCUACCACGAGCUUGUAAUAUUCGCCAGAGUUCACAUUUAAAUUUAAUAUCUAUCCUUAUCCGCUUAUAUAAUUCAACUUACAGUGUGCUAGAGAACAUAAAAGGGAUGUUGUAACUAACUUUAGCCAUGUUGCCUAUAUGCAUGGUUUCAUAAACACACUAAGUUUAUGUUAUAAAUUGAAAAGAAAUGAAUUAUAAAGUAAAAGGACGGAGAUGCAAAACCAGAGAGGUAUUUGUUGUGGUGAAGUGGAGGCCAAGCAAAGAAGCUUUCUUCCCCAAUCCAUCCCCUACUACUCUUUUAAUUCUCAGCUCUAAAGCACCCACUUCCUAACCCAGCCAAUCUCUCUUUCUUUCCAAACCGUAGCUGUCAACACCAUCUUCCCAAUCACUCCGCAAAGUUGUUUACCAGUUCUCUGGUCUAAUUUUAGCUCUAAUUUCCAGCGGGGGUUACGUACUGGCAAGAUCACUACAUUGUCACCCACAAAUUAAAUGGGAUCGAACGAAGGUGUGAUGAAGCGGUCGGAAGUUGACACUCGGGCGCCGUUCCGAUCUGUUAAAGAGGCGGUCACGUUGUUCGGAGAGAAAGUUUUGGCCGGCGAGCUUUACCCCAACAACAUGCUUAAACAGGUGGUGUUUCACUUUGUAGAUUGAUUAACGAGUCUGGACACAGGGAUAUUGCUUCUCGAAUUCAAUUUAAGAUCAAUCUGGAUCCUCGGAUUUCUAUAUGAUUUGAGGGUUAAGAUUAAUCAGGGGUAAUAUAGUUAUGUUGUUUUAAAUAAUUUUGUUGGACUAGAACCCAACCAUCUCCUGUCACCGGAAAGUUUUCAAUUAAUUUCUCGGGGAUGUGGACAGCGUUGGUGAAAUUUUUUGCACCCACGUGAUCACCUUCGUUGACUCUAUGUUUCUUGAAAACUUCUAUUUUUCUGGAAACAUUCUCCGAUGACGGACCGUACAACUUUAUAUGUAGAGUUGUAUGAAUCAUGCAAAUAUAUAUAGGUUUGUACAAACCCGUACAUAAAUGUAUAUACAUUUAUAUGAAUUUUUUACAAAGUGUAAUACUAUGAUAGUUAAUAAACACAUUUCUAAUGACUGAAAUUUCAAUUUUACCCUUAAACACAUUUCUAAUGACUGAAAUGUCAAUUUUACCCUCGUGAUUUCAGCCGUUAAAUCUAAUGCACGAUUUGUAAGACGGCUUAGAUUUAUGCGGGUUUAAUGGAUCCGAUCAAGAAGUCAUUUUAUUGACUUCAGAUUUGGACUGUUGAUAAACUGACGUCCAGUAUAAGGGAAAGUGCAAUAUAGCCACUGAAUUAGUUUUUCUAAUCAAGACCAUGCAGCAGGUUGGUCGUAAUGGAAAGCUAGACACAAUGACAUGUCAGCUGGAAGAAACAAAACAGAGCCUGGAAAAGGCAAAGGAGGAAAGCACACAAAUGGCGAGCUGCCUCUCCCAUCUUAAACAAGAGCUUGAACAAACAAAGCAAGAGCUCCAAAGACUCAAACAGGUGAAGGAAGUCCAGAUGAAGCAAUCGACCAUCUCGAUUGACCCGCAAUCCGACAUCCACCAUGGCCAACAAGACGUGAAACUAGUGACGGUACCAGAUGAAGAUGUGGAGUUUCAGAAGAAGAGGUACGUGACAUUUGCUAAUAAUGAAGGAGUAUUUGAUAAUGAUCGGAGGCUGGAGAGACAUCCUUCUUUGAGAAAGAAGAAGAAGAAGCCGUUGAUUCCUUUGAUUAUUGGAGGACUCUUCUCCUCUUCUAAGAGAAAGGGACACCAUCACCACCACCAUGAAAUUGCUUAAAGUUUGCUGUAGGUGCAUAGUCUGAAUAAUCUUUCUCGUGUGAGACGAUGACUUCUGUUGUACUUUUUUGGCCCCCAAUAUUCCAGUUCAAGAACUUGUACACUUACCAACUUAAACAUGUGUGCAUAGGUAAAACAAAAGAUAACAAUGCAUGAAAAAAGGAAAGAGGCUAGGAGCUAAUUAACACAAUAGUGAAAAUCUCUAAGUAUAAUUAUCUUCCCGAUAGACGGCUGAAGCAAUCAAACACCAGAAUAUUGCGUGAUUUCCAAGUCAUGUAACCAGUUACCGAAGAUCACAUACGAUCGAUACCAGUUACAGACGAUUAUAACAUGUUAUAUGCGAUUAUAAUCAGUUAUAUAUGAUUAUAUAUUACAUAUGAUUAUAACUCAUUACAUAUGAUUAUAACAUGUUACUCAUUUAACAAGUUAUAGACGAUUAUAAUUAGUAACUUGUUAUAUAAAUGAUCAUAACAUGUUACCCACUUGUUGUCAACCCCAGAUUUCCCGUCCCCGGCCCCGAAGGAAAAAUGGGGAUAGAUUUGAUACCGUCCCGUCCCCGUCGGAGACCUGGAUUUCUAGAUUUUACCCGUUUGGUAGAACAAAAAAAAGCAUGAAAACCAAAACAUAAAAACAUGAGUAUGAGCAACAAAGUAUCAUAAUAUCAAGUCUGUUCCAUGAAAAUUGGAAAUCAAACAUCAAGUCUAUUCAAACCCAGAAUUACUCGAAAAUAGUAAAAACGAAGGCCGCACAUCAAUGCUUCAACUGUUUUAUGAUGUAGUCGGCUGCGAUGAGGAUCAAGUAAUCGACUCCCCUAAACUGAAAGCUGAUUCUAAAACCACAUAUGUGAUUGGCACAACAAAGAAAUCCAACUAUUGUCGACAUAAUGAUCAGUAACAACCAUAUAUCCCUUUUUUGGCAAUUAUCCGACUACUUUUUUGACAAAAAUUUAUAACUAAUUAUAUUUUGUUAAUAACUAAUCAUAAUUAUAACCAAUUAUAUUUCAUAAUAACUAGUUAUAAUUACCCUUUAAAUAACUUGGUUAUAAUAAUAACUAGUUAUCAAAAUAUAUAACCAAUUGUAUAAAAUUUAAUUAAUUAUAAAUUAUAACUGGCGUUAAUAAAUGCUUAUAACUCGUUAUAUUUAACAUCUAACCGAUUAUUAAAAAAUACUUAUAUAAAUAAUUAUGAAUAAUUCCUUUUUCAGCUCCUAACCUUUUUAUGGCUUUAUGCGGUUUCGUUUUUUUCAAAUUUAGUCCUUCACUUUUGAAUUUUUGCAAAACAGCCCAUUGUCCUUAAUUGUAAAAAGUUCAAAAGUUACUGACCACGGAAGUAAAGUUCAAAAGUCUCAAACAAUAUGCAGAUUGGUCACUUAAAUUCUGAAAAGUGCUGGAUGGUCACUCUCCCUACCAAAUCUGAACAUCAUCGCCGACGAGUCUCACCGUGGCAUCUUCAUCUCCUCCUCCCCGAUGACGACGACUUGACCUCUGCUCACACCGUCCCAGAUUCAACCAGAUAUGGAGGCGUCGCAAUUUUCAACCGGAUCUUCAUCGGAUCUCAACCUCCUCUGCCGAAGUUCGUCGACUUAAUUGGCACUGGCAUUAGUAUUUCAGGUGCAUCCGUAUCGGUCAACUCUAUUUGACCGGGUAAUUUCAGCUUGUGAUGGGUGGGUUUCGGGUGGGUACCUAAGUACUGGGUUGGGUUUUCCAUCCUUAUUAAAUAGAAAAAUCAUACAUACAAUCAAUUAAUGGCAUCUCAUGCCCAAUAUAAACAAUAUAUAUAAUUUAUUUUCAUGCAUAUAAUUGUCUUCUUUAUAGACAUAUAUAAACUCGAUUCCUCACACCUAUAUAUCAAGUAUUCAUAAAUUUGGUCUCAACGACAGAGAGUUGGUAAACCCA